rnacentral:rRNA from 1 species
UACGUAGGGGGCUAGCGUUGUCCGGAAUCAUUGGGCGUAAAGCGCGCGUAGGCGGCCCGGUAAGUCCGCUGUGAAAGUCAAAGGCUCAACCUUUGAAUGUCAGCGGAUACUGCCGGGCUAGAGUCCGGAAGAGGCGAGUGGGAACUCCUGGUGUAGCGGUGGAAUGCGCAGAUAUCAGGAAGAACACCAACGGCGAAGGCAGCUCGCCUGGGACGGAACUGACGCUAAGGCGCGAAAGCGUGGGGAGCAAACAGG